rnacentral:rRNA from 1 species
GACGAACGCUGGCGGCGUGCCUAAUACAUGCAAGUGGGACGCAAGGAAACACACUGUGCUUGCACACCGUGUUUUCUUGAGUCGCGAACGGGUGAGUAACGCGUAGGUAACCUGCCUAUUAGCGGGGGAUAACUAUUGGAAACGAUAGCUAAUACCGCAUAAUAUUAAUUAUUGCAUGAUAAUUGAUUGAAAGAUGCAAGCGCAUCACUAGUAGAUGGACCUGCGUUGUAUUAGCUAGUUGGUAAGGUAAGAGCUUACCAAGGCGACGAUACAUAGCCGACCUGAGAGGGUGAUCGGCCACACUGGGACUGAGACACGGCCCAGACUCCUACGGGAGGCAGCAGUAGGGAAUCUUCGGCAAUGGACGAAAGUCUGACCGAGCAACGCCGCGUGAGUGAAGAAGGUUUUCUGAUCGUAAAGCUCUGUUGUAAGUCAAGAACGUGUGUGAGAGUGGAAAGUUCACACAGUGACGGUAGCUUACCAGAAAGGGACGGCUAACUACGUG